rnacentral:tRNA from 1 species
GCAUUGGUGAUUCAGUGGUAGAAUUCCCCUUCCAUGGAGGUGACCUGGGUUCGAUUCUAGCCAAUGCC